CGAGUUGGCCCAUUGGAUAUAGCGCACGCACGCACGCAGAUCAGAUCGAUCAGUCCUUCAUCGCCCAAAAGAAAUAUCCAUCGAUCAGAUCCAGGAGCCUAACCGGCCACCAGCACCUCCCUGGCGCCCCUGUUCUACUCCCACGCGAUCGGCGAGCCGCCAGGCGGCCAUGGCCAGGGCUGUUGCCAUCGCCUGCUCGGCGAUCGGACGUGCGCACGGCGGCGCGGACAGCGGACGGCGCGACUAAUCUAUCCCCGCUCACUUCAGUUCCGAUCUCUGCAGUCGGCAGCAGAGAGCAGACAUUGAUUCAGUUUGAAACCAACAUCCCACGGAUUCAGUUAACUUCGCGUCCCUAGCUAGCACAUAUUUGGUUUUUGUUCAAGUUGUGACGCAAUGCAACAACAACAUAUGGUGAAAGAGAAGAAGCAGCUAUCUAAUUAUGAUGGUUGAUGACGUAUAAAAUGGAGGUGAACAUGAAGAUAAAGAAAGGUUAUGACUUGCCAUUGCUUCAAACAUCGAGAAUUCCUUGUUGCACCUUGUAUGAUCGCAUUUGGAGUCUUAUUAGGACUAGAUAUAUGUAAAAGAGUAUUUUGUAAGUUUGGAAUACUAUUUUCUUUGUCAACCUUCUUCGUAGGCACGGGUAUAUAGAAGUGCACUUUUGGAAA